rnacentral:lncRNA from 1 species
ACUAACACAUUUUUGACCAACUCUCUGCUCUGUGCAUUCUUCUGGAUGUCCCAGUUACCGUUUGCACAAAACUAGACAAAGUGAUUCAGAAAAAGCUGUUGUAGAACUUCUCAAAGAGACCAGAUCAAAAGGAGAUCUGUUCAGGUGUUAGCAGAGUUGGAAGGAAAGCUGCUCCUGGGCUCGUGGGGUGUCUCCAGCUUGGUCCAGGCACCUGGGAGAGAUACAGCAGAUUGAAGACUGUCACAAAUUCUCU